GAAUUCUCACGAGAUCCGAGGGUUUUAAAAGUGGCAGUUUUUCCUGUGCUCACACUUCUCUUCCUUCUUGCCGCCAUGUAAGAUUUGUCUGCUUCCCCUUCCGCCGUGAUUGUAUGUUUCCUGAGGCCUCCCCAACCAUGUGGAACUAUGGAUAACCUGCUCUCCCAGAACCAUUUAUGAAAUAGUUCAUCCUUUGCCACUGCCGGACCCCACAGCGUCCAGGCAGGGAGCAGAACUCACAACUUCAGGCUCCCAGCCUAUGAGCCGCCACACCCAUCUCUAAACCCAAAACCAGCCACCAGCUCCAGGAGGAGUCAUCCUUGCCCAUUGAGGGCAACUGGAGUGCACAGUGUGCAGGUGUGUGUGAGGGGCAGAGGCCAGGAGGUGGGGAGGGCUCUCUGGCGUUCCAUCACUUCCAUAGCUCCUGCUUCAUGGUAUCGGGAUGACCCAGCCAGAGGGAACCCACGAGUUUCCCCAUUGCAACCCUUCACUUUACAGAUGGGGAAACUGAGGCUCAGGAUCCUCAGUAGAGUGCCCACUAUAUGAUGGGAGCUGGGCACCAGCACCCCUAGGUGAGCACUGGGGGGCCAGAUUCUCACUUGGCCACGCACCAUGCACACACCUCCCCCUGCCCCUCGAGUUCUUCUAAGCCACCCUGACAAGGCCUGGCUGUGGGUUCUUCUGGAAAGAGAAUUGGACUGCUCACCAUUAGCUCCUCCUUCCGGGCCUAGUUUGGCAGCUGACCCUUGGGGUGGCCUGGAACCUUUUCUUUACAAUUUAAGAGCCUGUUCUCAGCCUUUCCCACAAAGGGCUUGACCUCAAGAAGCUGAUCAGACUCUGGCUUAAUGUUUAUUCUAGGAUUCCAGGACUUCCUUCAAGAAAGGAGUACUCUCCUUGAAUAGACAAGCUGUGGCCAAGUGAGGUGGGAAGCCACGGCGGGCAGAACUGGUGGAGUAAGGGCUGGAUGGCAGUUGGAGGUGGAGGCGGGAAGCCUGCCUGGAAGGAGGGGUAAGGCUCUGAGGAGGAGGAAGAGCAGGUGCCCCAGGCCAGGGAGAGGGCAAAGAACAGGUUCUGGCCCAUUUGGGGCUCCAUGAGGCUGCAGCCCAGCCCAAGGCCCUGAAGUCCUAGGACAUCCAGUCCCUUGAUUCCUCAGCUGGAAAAGCCAAGGCCACCUUUAACUCAUAUCAACUUUGAAUGGUCCUGGCCAGACACCUUGACACACAGGGUCUCCUUGCUGCUUCACAACCUAUCUGUGCCUGGGGAUUUAUAUUCCUAUUUUGCAGACAAGAAAACUGGGGCCAGAUAAGUAAGGUCAGAGCAGAACUACAGCAGCAGCAGGGAUUGCAGGGCCUGGCCAGUGCUUUGUCCUCUGCGUAGCCCUUGGCCCCAGCAUACCCCGUCAUGACCAGAUCCCAUGCCUCUGGAUUGAUGAACACAAAUGCGUAGCUCAUGAAGAUGGGCUGGGAAUCUAAGACUGCUCCCAGCCAGGGAAUCAGAAGUAUCCUGCCCCAAACAUCAGUAUUUCAUGUUCAACACUCAACUCACCCAUAUGCUAAUCUUUUUAUUCAUUUCACUCAUCGAGCAAAUAUGGAUUUAGUUCCUUUUGUGUGCCGGGCACUGUGCUCCACUGGAGUUACACAGUGUGAUUAGGGCAUGGGCUUUCACAUGUUAUCACUAUGGUACACUCGAGCAUUGCUGGAAUGUCUAGGGGGAAGCUCUGCACCUGAACCCCCAUCCCCUCCUGAGAAGCUGUAUCCUCUGCCUGACUCUAUCGAGGUGAGGGGUGGAGGCUGUGGGAGUCAAGGAGGAGGAGGGAGAGAGAAAGAGCCUGAGAGAGCUGUAAAAGUGAGACAGUAAUCACUGGAGAAGUUCUCUCCAUCAUUAAAGAGGAUCUUAAUUAAGGUCCCUGAAACAGACACCCAAAACAAGCAGCAGCUGUGGGAACCAGGCCUGGCAGGGGGAGCACAGCCGCCCAGGGGUGCUGGGUGUUACUGGCCAGCGCCUCACCUGUCAUUAGGGAGUGGGAAUUCACCCCACAUCAAAGUCAGCCAGGAAGGAAUGUGACAAAUGCCAUUCACCUUCAAAACAGUGAUGAAAAUAAAUGACAAAGCCUGCCAACCAUUGUGUGCGAAAACUCCUCGGGCAGAAGGCCGAUCCCCAGAGAGAGGUGAGGUGUGUCCAGCUGAGAAGCAAAGAAGAGGUGCCUGGGUCUGGGAACAGAGCCUUCCCUAGACUGUGGCCGCCUGGACCUGGACACGCCUCUCCUGGCCUUUGGCCUUCAGUUUACCUGGUGCUAAGACCCUGGGAAAUCCCUUUCCUCUACUGUCCCACCACUCUGGGAUACCUUAAUGUGGUUGCUUUACUCUGCUGGUGCCUAGGGAAUCAGAGGACAUCCUGGGUGGAGUCUCUCCCACCCUUGAAGAAGGACAUCGUCAUGGCCCGUCUUGGACCCCCUGACUUUCCUCUUCUGGGAGGAAAUAACUGGGAGGCAGUUAUUUUCUCUUUGUUGUUUAUAAUAUGGACAAACCUUGACC